ACCUCGAAAUAACCGCUUGGCCAGAGGGAGAGAAAAGUCCGAUACUUCUUGCCCAUUCCGGAAUGCUGGCGGCGCGUACGUUAUUACUAUUUUAUGCGAAUAGCGUAUCCGUCCUUCAUUGCCUAUGGUUUUCCCCGACCUCGGUCGGCCUUGUCGGGCUCCACCGAUCACCGCUGGGGCGCGGGUAAGUACACAUGUUUUGUUCAUAUUAUCAACGUAUUACGCGGUUUGUAUAGGAUAUACAAUAGCUGAUAUUGUAUCUUAUAUACAAUACGUCAAUAAUCAUGUUAUGCAUAGCGUGUUGAAGUUUUACUACGGUUUAACCGAAACAUU